GUGCUUGCUUCGGCAGCACAUACAGAGAAGAUUAGCUUGGCCCCUACAUAGGAUGACAUGCAAAUUCGUGAAGCAUUCCAUAUUUUU
rnacentral:snRNA from 1 species